rnacentral:rRNA from 1 species
UACGAAGGGGGCUAGCGUUGUUCGGAAUUACUGGGCGUAAAGCGUGCGCAGGCGGUUUUGUAAGUUUGUCGUGAAAGCCCCGGGCUCAACCUGGGAAUUGCGAUGAAGACUGCAAGGCUUGAAUCUGGCAGAGGGGGGUAGAAUUCCACGUGUAGCAGUGAAAUGCGUAGAGAUGUGGAGGAACACCGAUGGCGAAGGCAGCCCCCUGGGUCAAGAUUGACGCUCAUGCACGAAAGCGUGGGGAGCAAACAGGG